rnacentral:rRNA from 1 species
GACGAACGCUGGCGGCGUGCUUAACACAUGCAAGUCGAACGGAAAGGCCCUGCUUUUGUGGGGUGCUCGAGUGGCGAACGGGUGAGUAACACGUGAGUAACCUGCCCUUGACUUUGGGAUAACUUCAGGAAACUGGGGCUAAUACCGGAUAGGAGCUCCUGCUGCAUGGUGGGGGUUGGAAAGUUUCGGCGGUUGGGGAUGGACUGGCGGCUUAUCAGCUUGUUGGUGGGGUAGUGGCUUACCAAGGCUUUGACGGGUAGCCGGCCUGAGAGGGUGACCGGCCACAUUGGGACUGAGAUACGGCCCAGCCUCCUACGGGAGGCAGCAGUGGGGAAUAUUGCACAAUGGGCGGAAGCCUGAUGCAGCAACGCCGCGUGCGGGAUGACGGCCUUCGGGUUGUAAACCGCUUUCGCCUGUGACGAAGCGUGAGUGACGGUAAUGGGUAAAGAAGCACCGGCUAACUACGUG